GAAGGGGUAGAGAGGAGGAAGGCAGAAGAAGAUAGGAGGCGGCAGGGAAUAUUAUUUAGGUAGGAGUUUGUUCACCAAAUUCUUCUUACAAGAACACAGCGACGGCACACUAUUUAUCUUCCAGGCAGCAACUCACGCUCUCCACUCUGGGCCACACAGGCGAACAUUGGGCCUCCGGUUGCGCUUUUCCUUUGUCGGCCCAACCUCAGCUUCCAGCACGGCGUCCUCAAUUUCUAGAUCAGAAACUCCCUUAUCCUUGGUAACAUCUUCAUCUUGUGUCGAUGGUGUGCUUGUGACAAUCCCUCGGCGAUGAGAGCCUGCUUGCCCCCAAGCAGGUGCCACUGGAAAAACGUUGACGCAGAUACAGUUCAUCCUCCCAAGUAGCCAACGAAACAGGUAGCCCUGACCACUGAAUGAGAAGUUGUUUGGCACCUGCUGCAUUCAGACGAUGCUGCAACACUUUUCAGGUACCUGAAAACCAUCCAGAUGGUGAGGCAGCGGGGAUACAGGCGUAGAGGACGAAACGACCUUUUUUAAGUUGUGACACAUGGAAAAUGGGAUGAAUUUUAGAAGCUGGCGGUAACAACAGCUCAUACGCGACCGCCCCAAUCUUGGACACCACCUGAAAUGGUCCAAAGAAACGGAAAGACAACUUCUGAUUGGAUCGGGGAGCAAGAGAAGACUGAAUGUAAGGUUGGAGGCGAACAUAGACCAUGUCUCCCACUGCGAAUGACCGCUUAGUCCUGUGUUUAUCAGCCUGCGAUUUCAUGCGGAGCUUAGCUCGAGCCAAAUGCUGACGAAUAAGAUUAGUCAUCACGAUUUUGUCUUGGAGCCAGUCCUCUAACAGAGGCACUGAAGAGUCUGAGACUACCUCCAAACCAAAUGGUUUAGGAGUAUAGCCGUAUAACACCUCAAAUGGUGAGAACCCCAGAGCUUCAUGCUUACUUGAAUUAUACCAGAAUUCUGCCAGAUAGAGCCAAUCAAACCAUUUGUUAGGACAAGCGUUGACAAAACACCUCAGAAAAGUUUCUAAACACAGAUUGACUCGUUCUGUCUGACCAUCACUUUGGGGGUGAUAAGCUGAACUCAUCUGUAAUUUCACAUUGGCUAGUUUGAAAAGUGUCUUCCAUAGUUGACUGGUAAAGACACGAUCACGAUCAGACACAAUGGCGACUGGCAUACCAUGUAACUUGUACACAUUCUGCAUAAAGGCUUUGGCCACGGUCAUAGCAGUGAACGGGUGCUGAAGUGCAAUGAAAUGACUAAAUUUUGAGAACUUGUCAACCACCACCAUGACACAGUUCUUUGCGCCAGACAAGGGCAAACCCUCCACAAAAUCCAUAGUCACUGUUUGCCACGCGCCGGAAGGAACCAGUAAGGGCUGCAGCAAGCCUGGAUACUUGACUCUCUCAGGAUUAGCUUGUUGACAGAUAGUACACGCUGCUACAAACUGCUUGGUAAAUUUUCUCAUGCCCGGCCACGCAAAUAACUGCUUGAGUUUGUGGUAAGUAACAGGGAAACCAGAAUGACCACCCACUGCCGAGCUAUGGAGAGCAUCCAAAAUUGUGUGAUGUAAUGAUGUGUUAUUGCCAAUCCAUAUUCUAUUGUUAAACUUGAUCAAGCCCUCAUGCAGAGAAAAACCAGGAACAACAGCCCCCAUUCAGCAUCAGUUUGGACAGUAACUGCUUAGCCUCCUCAUCAAGCAUGUACCCAUCGAUGACCUGCUGACACCACUGUGGAGAUGAAGUGGAUAUGGCAAAAAUGUGAGACGGCAUAUGAGCGCGUCGAGAUAGAGCAUCAGCCACCCUAUUUUCGGUACCUUGCUUAUACACAACUUUGUAUUGCAUUCCCAGAAGUUUGGAAAAUACUUUCUGUUGCCAGGGGGUAUGUAAUCUUUGCUCGUUCAAGUGGAUGAGACUCUUCUGGUCAGUGAAGAUGAUAAAUUCAGCAUGUAGGAGGUAAUGGCGCCAUUGUUCAACAGCUACCAAAAUUGCUAAAUAUUCUUUCUCGUAGGUCGAUAACCCCUGUGUCUUAAUCCCCAACGGCUUGCUAAUAAAAGAGAGAGGAUGUCCCUCCUGCAACAAGACUGCUCCCACUCCAUUCUUACAGGCGUCUGUUUCUAUGCAGAAAGGCAGGGAAAAAUUAGGGAGAGCAAGAACUGGGGCCGAGCUCAAAGCCUGUUUCAGAGUGCUGAAAGCAGCAGCAUGUUCAGACGUCCACACAUAUAAGACUCCCUUCUUUAAUAGCUGAUGCAAGGGCUUAGCGAUGAUGGCAAAAUGUUUGACAAAUUUCCUAUAAUAGCCAGCGAGACCGAGGAAACUGUGUAGCUCUUUGACACUAGCAGGGAUUGGCCAUGAAAGAACUGCUUCCACCUUGGCACUAUCAGUAGCAACACCCUUUUCACUGAUUAUGUGACCCAGGUACUUAAUUUCUCGCCGAGCAAAACUGCAUUUAGAGAGCUUCACAAACCAAGAAUCCUGCUGCAACAGAGAUAACACCUGUUGGAGAUGAACAAGGUGAUCAUCCCAAGAAGCACUGUAUAUUAAAAUGUCAUCAAAGAAGACAAUGACACACUUGCACAAUAAUGGCGCCAAAGUGGUGUUCAUCGCACUUUGAAAAGUUCCUGGAGCUCCACAUAAUCCAAAUGCCAUAACCAAGAAUUCAAACUGGCCGUGAUGAGUCUGAAAUGCAGUUUUGUAUUCUUCUCCAGUCUUCAGUCUCACUUGGUGAUAGCCCGAUAGUAAGUCUAAGGUAGAAAACCAAGAAGCACCGGCUAACUCAUCCAUCGACUGGUCAAAAACUGGUAUAGGAAAUUUCCACUUCAAUGUCAAGGCGUUGAGAUAUCUGUAAUCAACACAGAAUCGGAAACUACCAUCUUUUUUCCGUACCAAUAACACUGGAGAACAAAAUUCAGAAGCACUCGGUCUGAUAAUGCCAGCUUUGAGCAUUUCAGUAACCUGUCGCUCAAUUUCAUCUUUCAAUGAUGGAGGAUAACGAUAUGGUCGUAUGUUAACCAGAGUGGCACCUUGGAUCAAAGGAAUAGAAUGAUCACAAGUGCGAACAGGAGGUAGAGUACUGGGAGUGGAAAAGACUGGAGAAAACUGAGAUAACAGGUUGGAUAUAGCAGGGUGCAAUAUCUCACCCGAGGAACUGGCAUCAGAAAGAUGGACAGCAGUAAUGUGCAGUAAAAUAUCAGUUGGCUGUCGAUCUGAAUAACCAUAUAGAACCACUUGUUUCCCUGAAUAAGGAAUGCUGAUCCACUUGUGCUGCCAAUGAAUCCUCAUAGGGCUAAAAUGUUCCAGCCAGUCCAUGCCUAGAAUGAGAUCAAAAUUAGGCAGUGUUAACACUUGUAAGUCUUGAAGAAAAGAACAAUCCUAAAUACUCCAAGAGGCCUGAGGAACCAUUGUGGAGCACACCAACAUCCCACCAUUGGCCACCUGAACCCGAAUAGGAACAGAGGCAACUGUGGCUAAACCCAGUUUUAAGACAGUUGUUUGAUUGAUGAAGGAAUUAGUGCUGCCUGAAUCCACCAGAAUCAGAAUAUCCUGCUGACACAUGUGACCAAUAAACUGGAUGGAUCUCUUAGUAGAUGACCCUGACACAGCUUCAGGAGAAAGUGACAUAAGAAUUGACUCGUUAGUAGAAAUUGUGGCACCCGCAGCAUCAAACACCGGUGUAUCAGACAAUAAAUCCCACACUUCUUGCAAUACGUGCAGCUGUACCGUUGCACUACACGUAUGACCACGGUGCCAUUUUUCUGCACACUUCUCACACAGUCCACGAGCCCUACGAUAGGCCUUGAGAGCCCCCAGUUUACUGUCGGCAGCAGUGGAGUGAUCAAAAUGCUUCGGAAUUGGUUCAGAUUUAGGAACUGUUGCUUGAGGUGGAGGAGGUAGUGGUAAGGGAUUCGGCGCAGAUUGCUUGGACCAGGAGCGAAAGUCCAACUUGCGAUGAUCUUGACGUCCCACUGGAGGGGCCACCUCUUCCUGCAACAAUGCCAAGGAACAAACAGUAUCCAAAUCCAAAGGCCUUUGAAGCAUGACUACAGCACGAAUGUCACUACGUAAACCGUCUACAAAACGUGUAGCGAAAAACAGCGGGUCUAGAACUGACUGAUAUACAGCAAGUUGAUCUACCAAAGUCACAAAACGCUCCUGAUAUUCAGUGACACUAUCAGUCUGGUGUAUACGGAAGAGAUGUCGCAACAAUGACUGAAGCUGAUCACGCCCAAACCUAUCAUGCAACAUACGACAUAGCAUAGGCCAGGACAUAUGUGGAUUUUUGAGCUCGACUGCUUGGAACCAGCAAGCCACCUGAGGUGUCAUGUACAUCGAUGCCACACGGAUCCACGCCGUAGGUUCAACAUCAUACAUAUCAAAGUAGUUUUCACAACGAGAGAUCCAAAGCCUUGGGUUAGUGCCAUCAAAACUCGGAAACGGCAGUUUCGGCAAUUUCCCUAAUGAACGACCGAGAGACUCAGAAGGACGCGCACGACUGCCAAACUGAUCCAACAAUGAUCCAUGAUAGCGUGGGGUGAUUGGGGGUGGAGGAGGGAUAUUGUGCGUACCCUUGACCGGGCCAGGGAUAAGGGUCGUGACCGACCCAAAACCCUGCUCCCGGUUGUGUAAAUCCUCGCGGUGCCCAACUGGGCCAUCAGGGUGGAGCAUCGGCGACGACUGAUCGGAAUGCGGAUCAGGACGACGAAGCAGACCCUGAUCAGAGCCGGAGUGUUCCAGCAGCGCCUGAUCCCACUGCUUGUUCAUCUUGCGAAGCUCGAGUUUGACGUCGUUCAGAGCCGCAUCCACAGACGACCGCCAUUUCUCGACGUCGGAACAUGUCUGUUCCAGCACGACGAGACGCUCAUCCCUGGAGCGCUUGAAGUCGACGAAGCGCUGAUCCCACUUGAGGUCCAUCGCCGUCAGCUGCUUCUCGAUCUCAUCAAGCAAAAGCUUGGAGGACGGAUCCAUGACACCACGACGCCGCUGGAGCCUGGUGAAGUAGCCGUGGUCGGCUUGCGGUUCCUGAUCGGCGUGCCCAAGGAAUCGAUGACUUCUGAUACCAAAUGUAACAGUAAGCGUGGAGAAGGGGUAGAGAGGAGGAAGGCAGAAGAAGAUAGGAGGCGGCAGGGAAUAUUAUUUAGGUAGGAGUUUGUUCACCAAAUUCUUCUUACAAGAACACAGCGACGACACACUAUUUAUCUUCCAGGCAGCAACUCACGCUCUCCACUCUGGGCCACACAGGCGAACAUUGGGCCUCCGGUUGCGCUUUUCCUUUGUCGGCCCAACCUCAACUUCCAGCACGGCGUCCUCAAUUUCCAGAUCAGAAACUCCCUUAUCCUUGGUAACAUCUUCAUCUUGUGUCGAUGGUGUGCUUGUGACAGCGGAUUUAGCUGCAACAACCGAGCAGGAAGAUGGUUCUGGCGAGAGUCUUGCGUGGGAUUUGCUCCUGGUUUGUUGAGCUUUGCCAUCGAACGAACGAACUCCAGCGGAUGUGGGGAAAGUUGUGGACGCCGCCAGGGGAAUACGCUGAGCAGUCUCCGAUUGAGAAGGGGGAGAAGAGGAACAGUAGUUCCGGUCCCACCCGCCAGCUUCCUGCGCGUGAUCAAGGUCAGGCUGGGCUCCCCAUGAAUCGCGGUGGAGUUUGUUGUGGCUACAGGGUCGGUUGCAUGUGCGUCUGCGGAACGGGCCCACCACGAAGCCACAGCGCGCGUG
rnacentral:lncRNA from 1 species